rnacentral:rRNA from 1 species
AGAGUUUGAUCAUGGCUCAGAAUCAACGCUGGCGGCGUGCCUAACACAUGCAAGUCGAACGAGAAAGCGGGGGCAACUCCGUGAGUAAAGUGGCGACCGGGUGAGUAACACGUGACUAACCUGCCCUUGAGUGGGGGAUAACCUCGGGAAACCGGGGCUAAUACCGCAUAAUUUCAUGAGGUGAAAUUCCGCAUGAUCAA